GAUCAUGGCUCAGGACGAACGCUGGCGGCGUGCCUAACACAUGCAAGUCGAACGGAGAUAAAGAUUUCGGUUUUUAUCUUAGUGGCGCACGGGUGAGUAACACGUGAAUAACCUGACCCAAAGAGGGGGGAUAACACCUGGAAACAGGUGCUAAUACCGCGUAAGACCACAAUGUCGCAUGACGAAGGGGUCAAAGAAAAUCGCUUUGGGAGGGGUUCGCGUCCCAUUAGGUAGUAGGCGGGGUAACGGCCCACCUAGCCGACGAUGGGUAG
rnacentral:rRNA from 1 species